GCCAUGCCGCGUGCAGGAAGACUGCCCUAUGGGUUGUAAACUGCUUUUAUAGAGGAAGAAACCUCCCUACGUGUAGGGAGCUGACGGUACUCUACGAAUAAGGAUCGGCUAACUCCGUGCCAGCAGCCGCGGUAAUACGGAGGAUCCAAGCGUUAUCCGGAAUCAUUGGGUUUAAAGGGUCCGUAGGCGGGCAGUUAAGUCAGUGGUGAAAGUCUUCCGCUCAACGGGAGAAUUGCCAUUGAUACUGAUUGUCUUGAGUCAUUAUGAAGUGGUUAGAAUGAGUAGUGUAGCGGUGAAAUGCAUAGAUAUUACUCAGAAUACCGAUUGCGAAGGCAGAUCACUAAUAAUGUACUGACGCUGAUGGACGAAAGCGUAGGUAGCGAACAGGAUUAGAUACCCUGGUAGUCUACGCCGUAAACGAUGGUUACUAGCUGUUUGGACGAUUGAGUCUGAGUGGCUAAGCGAAAGUGAUAAGUAACCCACCUGGGGAGUACGUUCGCAAGAAUGAA
rnacentral:rRNA from 1 species